GACGAACGCUGGCGGCGCGCCUAACACAUGCAAGUCGAACGGACGAAGAGGUGCUUGCACCUCUGAGUUAGUGGCGGACGGGUGAGUAACACGUGAGCAACCUGCCUUACAGAGGGGGAUAACGUCCUGAAAAGGACGCUAAUACCGCAUAAAGUCAAGAUGUGGCAUCGCAUCAUGACCAAAGGAGCAAUCCGCUGAAAGAUGGGCUCGCGUCUGAUUAGAUAGUUGGUGGGGUAACGGCCUACCAAGUCGACGAUCAGUAGCCGGACUGAGAGGUUGAACGGCCACAUUGGGACUGAGAUACGGCCCAGACUCCUACGGGAGGCAGCAGUGGGGAAUAUUGCACAAUGGGGGAAACCCUGAUGCAGCAACGCCGCGUGAAGGAAGACGGUUUUCGGA
rnacentral:rRNA from 1 species